UGUCUGCUUUGCAUGUAUCCUCCAGUCCAGUCCAGCUCUCAGAAUUUAAAAACCAGGCCUUUGCAAUGUGACUGAUCAGCAUCAGACAGGCAGGGAGAGCAAGAUGGAAUCACAGACUCAGGUCCUCAUGUCCCUGCUGCUCUGGGUAUCUGGUACCUGUGGGGACAUUGUGAUGACCCAGUCUCCCUCCUCCCUGGCUGUGUCAGCAGGAGACAAGGUCACUAUGAGCUGCAAGUCCAGUCAGAGUCUUUUAUCCAGUGAAUACCAAGGGAACUACUUGUCCUGGUUCCAGCAGAAACCAGGGCAGUCUCCUAAACUGCUGAUCUCCUUGGCAUCCACUAGGGAAACUGGUGUCCCUGAUCGCUUCAUAGGCAGUGGAUCUGGGACAGACUUCACUCUGACCAUCAGCAGUGUGCAGGCUGAAGACCUGGCUGUUUAUUACUGUGAGCAGUACUACAGCUAUCCUCCCACAGUGCUUCAGCUUCCUACACUAACCUCCUUGAGAGUUUCAACAGCUGUGUACACCAUCCACAGCCCUGGGCAUGGCGAGUUCCCCCUUCUGCCUGAGAGCCGGCAUGCCUAAAUGGUGAAGAAAAUGUUUAUAGAGCAGUAAAAAAAUAAUGUUUUCACUUCCUCUUAUUUUUUUUUUUGGUUUAAAAUUUCUAUACACAAAGGAGAAUAAAAGAACAGUAUUAAUUUUCUAUUCUUUCUGAA